UACGUAGGCAGCGAGCGUUGUUCGGAGUUACUGGGCGUAAAGGGUGUGUAGGCGGUUGCUUAAGUUUGGUGUGAAAUCUCCCGGCUCAACUGGGAGGGUGCGCCGAAUACUGAAUGACUUGGAGUGCGGGAGAGGAAAGUGGAAUUCCUGGUGUAGCGGUGAAAUGCGUAGAUAUCAGGAGGAACACCGGUGGUGUAGACGGCUUUCUGGACCGUAACUGACGCUGAGACACGAAAGCGUGGGUAGCAAACAGG
rnacentral:rRNA from 1 species